CCUACGGGAGGCAGCAGUGAGGAAUAUUGGUCAAUGGACGAGAGUCUGAACCAGCCAAGUAGCGUGAAGGAUGACUGCCCUAUGGGUUGUAAACUUCUUUUAUAUGGGAAUAAAAUGUUCCACGUGUGGGAUUUUGUAUGUACCAUAAGAAUACGGCUCGGCUAACUCCGUGCCAGCAGCCGCGGUAAUACGGAGGAUCUGAGCGUUAUCCGGAUUUAUUGGGUUUAAAGGGAGCGUAGGUGGAUUGUUAAGUCAGUUGUGAAAGUUUGCGGCUCAACCGUAAAAUUGCAGUUGAAACUGGCAGUCUUGAGUACAGUAGAGGUGGGCGGAAGUCGUGGUGUAGCGGUGAAAUGCUUAGAUAUCACGAAGAACUCCGAUGGCGAAGGCAGCUCACUGGACUACAACUGACACUGAGGCUCGAAAGUGUGGGGAUCAAACAGGAUUAGAUACCCUUGUAGUC
rnacentral:rRNA from 1 species